UUAGAUGAAGCCAAAGUCGGCGGCAUUUCAUUGUUAAUGAAAUUUAGAAGAUUAGUUCCAUCUAAG
rnacentral:tRNA from 1 species